GCUGGCAUCAUCUGUGUAAGAAUCGUGAUGGCAGGAGAAAUCAAGUGAUGCGGAGUUAAUAGCGCACCGAUGAACGCGUGGGAGAGACUCCUAUCUCAUUACAUUCGACAACUUCAUCCGGUGCCUGGAUGCCAAAGAAUAAACAUCGUGAAUGGUAAGUUAUACCUAAAUAUUAACUCAUAAUUACAGUACUUAUUGUGU
rnacentral:lncRNA from 1 species